CUUGGGGGAAAUCCUUUUGCACACUUGUGGGGGGUGGGGGGGGCUGGGAGCCAAGUCUGCUUCUCUCCCUCCCAGGCUGGGAUGCCUCUUAUCACUGGGGGCUAAGUUUAGCAAAAUGUUUUUCCCUAUUUCCUCUGGGAGUAAGCUACAGGGACCCAGUCACCCUUGCAUGCAUUCUUUGAGUUUUCUUCAUUCUGCAGAUAUGUUUUGAGAACCUACUAUGUGCUAAAUACUGGAAAAUCUCAAGAAAUCCAAAGAUGGCCUCCAAAGCUGCUUUUGGGGCCAGCAGCUGCAGUAGAACGCCACAACUCCUUCUCUCUGCCCAAGGAGGCCUGUUGCUGACAGCCAUCCAGCUUCAGCGCACACUUUGUUAUUUCGCGUUUCACUUGGGAUAAACAGUUGCAAGAACAACUUGAGAAGUGUAUUGCUCUGCACGGAAGAGGAGGAACACGGACUGGUCCCAGGAGAGAUCAAACUGCUGUAGAAGAAUGAAAACUUCCUAGAGUGUGGCCUUGGCACAUGCUGUUUAAAGUAUGGCAAUGGCCGGGAAAAAGAUCUUGACCUGGAUUAU